CCCUUAGAUGUUCUGGGCCGCACGCGCGCUACACUGACGAUGGCAACGAGUUUUUCCUUCGCCGAAAGGUGUGGGUAAUCUUUUGAAACAUCGUCGUGCUGGGGAUAGAUCAUUGCAAUUUUUGAUCUUGAACGAGGAAUUCCUGGUAAGCGCGAGUCAUCAGCUCGCGUUGAUUACGUCCCUGCCCUUUGUACACACCGCCCGUCGCUACUACCGAUUGAAUGGUUUAGUGAGGACUCCUGAUUGGCGCCGCCGCCCCGGCAACGGAGCAGCGGACUGCCGAAAAGUUGUUCAAACUUGAUCAUUUAGAGGAAGUAAAAGUCGUAACA
rnacentral:rRNA from 1 species